AGUGAACGCUGGCGGUACGCCUAACACAUGCAAGUCGAACGGCAGCACAGUAAGUGCUUGCUCUUACGGGUGGCGAGUGGCGGACGGGUGAGGAAUACAUCGGAAUCUACUUUUUCGUGGGGGAUAACGUAGGGAAAAUUACGCUAAUACCGCAUACGACCUACGGUUUAAAGCAGUGACACUUCGGACCUUGCGCGAUUGUAUUAGCCGAUGUCGGGUUAGCUAGUUGGCUGGGUAAGGGCCCAGCAAGCCGACGCUGCGUAGCUGGGCUGAGAGGAUGAUCAGCCACACGAGAACUGAGACACGGUCCAGACUCCUAAGUGAGGCAGCAGUGGGGAAUAUUGGAGAAAGGGCGGAAGCCUGAUCCAGCCAUACCGCGUGGGUGAAGAAGGCCUUCGGGUUGUAAAGCCCUUUUGUUGGGAAAGAAAAGCAGCAGGUUAAUACCCCGCUGUUCUGACGGUACCCAAAGAAUAAGCACCGGCUAACUUCGUG
rnacentral:rRNA from 1 species